UGGGGAAUAUUGGACAAUGGGCGAAAGCCUGAUCCAGCCAUGCCGCGUGUGUGAAGAAGGUCUUCGGAUUGUAAAGCACUUUAAGUUGGGAGGAAGGGCAGUUACCUAAUACGUGAUUGUUUUGACGUUACCGACAGAAUAAGCACCGGCUAACUCUGUGCCAGCAGCCGCGGUAAUACAGAGGGUGCAAGCGUUAAUCGGAAUUACUGGGCGUAAAGCGCGCGUAGGUGGUUUGUUAAGUUGGAUGUGAAAUCCCCGGGCUCAACCUGGGAACUGCAUUCAAAACUGACUGACUAGAGUAUGGUAGAGGGUGGUGGAAUUUCCUGUGUAGCGGUGAAAUGCGUAGAUAUAGGAAGGAACACCAGUGGCGAAGGCGACCACCUGGACUAAUACUGACACUGAGAUGCGAAAGCGUGGGGAGCAAACA
rnacentral:rRNA from 1 species